rnacentral:rRNA from 1 species
UACAGGGGGUGCAAACGUUGCUCGGAAUUAUUGGGCGUAAAGCGCGCGUAGGCGGCCACUUAAGUCGGAUGUGAAAGCCCCUGGCUCAACUGGGGAAGUGCACCCGAAACUGAAUGGCUUGAGUGCGAAAGAGGGUCGCGGAAUUCCCGGUGUAGAGGUGAAAUUCGUAGAUAUCAGGAGGAACACCAGUGGCGAAGGCGGCUUUCUGGACGGUACUGACGCUGAGGCGCGAAAGCGUGGGGAGCAAACAGG